rnacentral:lncRNA from 10 species
GAAGGGUGUUAUUUUUUCAGAUGUUCAGCCCACAAGAGCUUACUGGUGAAGGAAUGGGACAAGACCCAUCUUUAUGCAAAGCCAGCGUUACAGUAAUGUUCCAGCAUCUCAUAAUCUAUCCUGGGGAAUUCAGCUGCCUCCCAGGGUGAAUACAGGUAUUCCUGAUGACAGUCUGCCUCUAUCUUACAGAGCAGCUUGUUGCUAUAUACCAUUGAAAAGCCUUCAGAGCUGAGAGGUACUACUAACCAAUAACCUGCUUGGCUCAAAGGGCCAGCACCUUCUCUCUAAAGCCCAAGAGGAGUUUGAGGAAAACUAGGUGUCUGUGUUCACUCCAGGCUGAAGUUACAGGUCUGAGCAAAUAAGGUGUAUAAAAAAUGGAAUCUGUCUUGGAGGACAUCAGAAGGUGAAUUUUCCAAGUUCUUGGACAACCUAGCUGUUGAAAAGCUUUCUGGGUUUGGGGGGUAUUUCAGAUGUACCUUAAAGUGUUAGCAGACACAGAUUAAGACACUGGGAGCCAAUGAAACAGCAGUUGAGGGUUUGCUGUGUAUCACAUUUCUGUAUUUUAUCACCCCCUUCCUGCAACAUUAUUUAUCUGGAAUCUACCUGCCCUUUUGUUUUUUAGAUACAAGGGCUUGGUUUUGUUACCCAGGCUGGUUUCAAGGCCAUAGCUUUAAGAGAUCCUCUCACCACAGAUUUCCAAAGUGCUGGGAUUGCAGGUGUGAUUCAUGGCACCCAGACUUUGCUGCCUUUCUUACAUGAUCCAGGCCCAGAACCCAAACUCAGGCACUGUAUAGAUGACCACUUUCGUAAACUACUGACCUAGCUUGUUGCCAAUUGUUGAUUGAACUUCCCAUAACUCCACUUCGUGUCUGUUCCUCUGUAUACAGCCACCUUCUGUUCCCGUCAUGAGCCUUUAGGUCUCCAUUUGCAUAUUGCAAAUACUAUGUUCCAUGUAGGUAGCUCAUUCAGGGCCUUGCUCUUCACUUCAAAAAAGGUUCCCUUGAGGACUGGCUGUCAAUUUGUGUUGCUGUGUUGGUUGUUGAUGAAAAUAAUAAAAUGAUUGAUUACAUA